CCUUGGAACAGGACGUCACAGAGGGUGAGAAUCCCGUACGUGGUCGCUAGCCUCCGCCGUGUAAAGCCCCUUCGACGAGUCGAGUUGUUUGGGAAUGCAGCUCUAAAUGGGAGGUAAAUUUCUUCUAAAGCUAAAUACUGGCCAGAGACCGAUAGCGCACAAGUAGAGUGAUCGAAAGAUGAAAAGCACUUUGGAAAGAGAGUCAAAUAGCACGUGAAAUUGUUGAAAGGGAAGCGCUUGCAGCCAGACUUGCCUGUAGUUGCUCAUCCGGGCUUUUGCCCGGUGCACUCUUCUACAGGCAGGCCAGCAUCAGUUUGGGCGGUUGGAUAAAGGUCUCUGUCACGUUCCUCUCUUCGGGGAGGCCAUAUAGGGGAGACGACAUACAACCAGCCUGGACUGAGGUCCGCGCAUUUGCUAGGAUGCUGGCGUAAUGGCUGUAAGCGGCCCGUCUUGAAACACGGACCAAGGAGUCUAACAUCUAUGCGAGUGUUUGGGUGUCAAGCCCGAACGCGUAAUGAAAGUGAACGGAGGUGGGAACCCUUGGGUGCACCAUCGACCGAUCCUGAUGUCUUCGGAAGGAUUUGAGUAAGAGCAUGGCUGUUGGGACCCGAAAGAUGGUGAACUAUGCUUGAAUAGGGU
rnacentral:rRNA from 1 species